UACAGAGGGUGCAAGCGUUGUUCGGAAUUCCUGGGCGUAACGCGCGUGUAGGCGGUUUGGUGUGUCGGUUGUGAAAUCCCUCAGCUUAACCGAGGAACUGCAUCCGAAACUGCUAGACUUGAGGGUCGGAGGGGAUGGCGGAAUUCCCGGUGUAGAGGUAAAAGUCGUAGAUAUCGGGAGGAACAGCUGUGGCGAAGGCGGCCAUCUGGAAGACAACUGACGCUGAGACGCGAAAGCGUGGGGAGCAAACAGG
rnacentral:rRNA from 1 species